rnacentral:rRNA from 1 species
ACAUGCAGUCGAGGGGUAACAGAAGCCUUUCGGAAGGCUGACGACCGGCGAACGGGUGAGUAACACGUAUGCAACUUACCCAUAACUCGGGAAUAGCCCAAAGAAAUUUGGAUUAAUACCCAAUAAUACAGGCGUACCGCAUGGUAUUCUUCGUUAAAGAAUAAUCGGUUAUGGAUAGGCAUGCGUUCUAUUAGGUAGUUGGUGAGGUAACGGCUCACCAAGCCGACGAUGGAUAGGGGAACUGAGAGGUUGUCCCCCCACACUGGUACUGAGACACGGACCAGACUCCUACGGGAGGCAGCAGUGAGGAAUAUUGGUCAAUGGACGAAAGUCUGAACCAGCCAAAUCGCGUGAAGGAAGAAGGUAUUAUGUAUCGUAAACUUUUUUUGUAAGAGAGUAAAGUGCACUACGUGUAGUGUAUUGCAAGUACCUUACGAAUAAGCAUCGGCUAAUUCCGUGCCAGCAGCCGCGGUAAUACGGAAGAUGCAAGUGUUAUCCGGAUUUAUUGGGUUUAAAGGGUGCGUAGGUGGUCUAAUAAGUCAGUGGUGAAAUCUCUUUGCUUAACAAGGAAAUUGCCAUUGAAACUGUUAGACUUGAGAAUGGACGAGGUAGGCGGAAUUCGUAGUGUAGCGGUGAAAUGCAUAGAUAUUACGAAGAACUCCAAUAGUGUAGACUGCUUACCAGACCAUAUCUGACACUAAGGCACGAAAGUGUGGGUAUCAAACAGGAUUAGAUACCCUGGUAGUCCACACAGUAAACGAUGAAUACUAACUGUUUGCGAUAUACAGCAAGUGGUCGAGCGAAAGCGUUAAGUAUUCCACCUGGGAAGUAUGCCGGCAACGGUGAAACUCAAAGGAAUUGACGGGGGCCCGCACAAGCGGAGGAACAUGUGGUUUAAUUCGAUAAUACGCGAGGAACCUUACCCGGGCUC